rnacentral:rRNA from 1 species
UACGGAGGGGGCUAGCGUUGUUCGGAAUUACUGGGCGUAAAGCGCACGUAGGCGGCUUUGCAAGUCAGAGGUGAAAGCCCGGGGCUCAACCCCCGGAAUUGCCUUUGAGACUGCAUCGCUAGAAUUGUGGAGAGGUAAGUGGAAUUCCGAGUGUAGAGGUGAAAUUCGUAGAUAUUCGGAAGAACACCAGUGGCGAAGGCGACUUACUGGACACAUAUUGACGCUGAGGUGCGAAAGCGUGGGGAGCAAACAGGG